UGGGGAAUAUUGCACAAUGGGCGAAAGCCUGAUGCAGCAACGCCGCGUGAGUGAUGAAGGCCUUCGGGUUGUAAAGCUCUGUCUUUUGGGACGAUAAUGACGGUACCAAAGGAGGAAGCCACGGCUAACUACGUGCCAGCAGCCGCGGUAAUACGUAGGUGGCAAGCGUUGUCCGCAUUUACUGGGCGUAAAGGAUGCGUAGGCGGAUUUUUAAGUGAGAUGUGAAAACCCUAAGCUUAACUUGGGGACUGCAUUUCAUACUGGAAAUCUAGAGUGCGGGAGAGGAGAAUGGAAUUCCUAGUGUAGCGGUGAAAUGCGUAGAGAUUAGGAAGAACACCAGUGGCGAAGGCGAUUCUCUGGACCGUAACUGACGCUGAGGCAUGAAAGCGUGGGUAGCAAACAGGAUUAGAUACCCUGGUAGUCCACGCCGUAAACGAUGAGUACUAGGUGUAGGAGGUAUCGACCCCUUCUGUGCCGCAGUUAACACAAUAAGUACUCCGCCUGGGAAGUACGAUCGCAAGAUUAAAACUCAAAUGAAUUGACGGGGUCAUAGCUGUUUUCCU
rnacentral:rRNA from 1 species